rnacentral:rRNA from 1 species
UAGUCUAACGACUGAACCAGCAACUUGGAAGAAUGAAUAGCGAAAGCUAAUUGUAUUAUUUGCGAUAUCAACUACGUUGAAUAAAAUUCUGGGUAAAAUUAUGAUGAUGACAUUGUUUACCCAUGUGUCUUGACCAAAUUACGUGCCAGCAGUCGCGGUAAUACGUAGAAGACUAGUGUUAUUCAUCUUUAAUAGGUUUAAAGGGUACCUAGACGGUAAACCAAGCUCUACAGGACUAGUUUACUAGAGUUACUUACAAGGAGGCUAUAAAGUACUAAUGGUGUAGAGAUGAAAUUUUGUGAUACCAUUUCUCGAAAGGAAGUUAUGGCACUGAUAAAGGCGAAAGCAUCCUCUUAUGUGAUAGCUUUGGAUCGCGAAUAGGAUUAGAUACCCUAGUAGUCAAAGCAGAAAAUGAUGAGUGUCAUAGAUUAUUUUAUUCUAUAAAUGAAAGUGUAAGCACUCCACCUCAAGAGUAAUUUGGCAACAUUGGAACUGAAAUCAUUAGACCGUUUCUGAAACCAGUAGUGAAGUAUGUUGUUUAAUUUGAUAAUCCGCAAAACACCUUACCAUGAAUAGAUACAAGCGUUGCACGGCUGUCUACAGUUAAUGUCGUGAGACUUUGGUUAGAUCCAUUAAAUUAACGCAAGCCCUUACUUUAUUUUUAAAUAGAGUUGUUCCCCGCUAUAUUGGAUAUGAUAACAGGGACUAAGACAAGUCAUCAUGGCCUUAAUGUUAUAGACCUUUACAAAAGGAUGUGAAAUUGUGAAAUUAAACUAAUCCCCAAAUAUGGAUAUA